rnacentral:rRNA from 1 species
AAAGUACCCGAUAGAACUUUGAAUGCACCAGUUCCCCAUUGAUCACUCAAACUAAGCAACGUUGUCCGUGCUUGGUAUACGGAUGGGUGACCAUCUGGGCAUUCACGUACCUACUGCU